AGCAUGUGGUUUAAUUCGACGCUACGCGAAGAACCUUACCUGGGCUUGAACUGCUGGUGGUAGAAGCCCGAAAGGGUAACGACCCGGAGCAAUCCGGGAGCCAGUAGAGGUGCUGCAUGGCUGUCGUCAGCUCGUGUCGUGAGAUGUUGGGUUAAGUCCCGCAACGAGCGCAACCCUUACCCUUAGUUGCCAGCGGGUAAUGCCGGGCACUCUAAGGGGACCGCCCGGAUAACGGGGAGGAAGCGGGGAUGACGUCAAGUCAGCAUGGCCCUUAUGUCCAGGGCUACACACGUGCUACAAUGGGCGAUACAGAGGGAAGCAAGGCCGCAAGGUAGAGCUAAUCCCUAAAAGUCGUCCUCAGUUCGGAUUGCAGGCUGCAACUCGCCUGCAUGAAGUCGGAAUCGCUAGUAAUCGCGGAUCAGCUACGCCGCGGUGAAUACGGUUCCGGGCUU
rnacentral:rRNA from 1 species